rnacentral:rRNA from 1 species
GAUGAACGCUGGCGGCGUGCCUAAUACAUGCCAGUCGAGCGAACGGACGAGAAGCUUGCUUCUCUGAUGUUAGCGGCGGACGGGUGAGUAACACGUGGAUAACCUACCUAUAAGACUGGGAUAACUUCGGGAAACCGGAGCUAAUACCGGAUAAUAUUUUGAACCGCAUGGUUCAAAAGUGAAAGACGGUCUUGCUGUCACUUAUAGAUGGAUCCGCGCUGCAUUAGCUAGUUGGUAAGGUAACGGCUUACCAAGGCAACGAUGCAUAGCCGACCUGAGAGGGUGAUCGGCCACACUGGAACUGAGACACGGUCCAGACUCCUACGGGAGGCAGCAGUAGGCAAUCUUCCGCAAUGGGCGAAAGCCUGACGGAGCAACGCCGCGUGAGUGAUGAAGGUCUUCGGAUCGUAAAACUCUGUUAUUAGGGAAGAACAUAUGUGUAAGUAACUGUGCACAUCUUGACGGUACCUAAUCAGAAAGCCACGGCUAACUACGUG